GAUGAAGAACGCAGCGAAAUGCGAUAAGUAAUGUGAAUUGCAGAAUUCAGUGAAUCAUCGAAUCUUUGAACGCACAUUGCGCCCCCUGGUAUUCCGGGGGGCAUGCCUGUCCGAGCGUCAUUACAACCCUCAAGCUCAGCUUGGUGUUGGGCCCCGCCGCCCCGGCGGGCCCUAAAGUCAGUGGCGGUGCCGUCCGGCUCCGAGCGUAGUAAUUCUUCUCGCUCUGGAGGUCCGGUCGUGUGCUCGUCAGCAACCCCCAAUUUUUUUCAGGUUGACCUCGGAUCAGGUAGGGAUACCCGCUGAACUUAAGCAUAUCAAUAAGCGGAGGA
rnacentral:misc_RNA from 1 species